rnacentral:rRNA from 1 species
AGCGGGCGUAGCAAUACGUCAGCGGCAGACGGGUGAGUAACGCGUGGGAACGUACCUUUUGGUUCGGAACAACACAGGGAAACUUGUGCUAAUACCGGAUAAGCCCUUACGGGGAAAGAUUUAUCGCCGAAAGAUCGGCCCGCGUCUGAUUAGCUAGUUGGUAGGGUAAUGGCCUACCAAGGCGACGAUCAGUAGCUGGUCUGAGAGGAUGAUCAGCCACAUUGGGACUGAGACACGGCCCAAACUCCUACGGGAGGCAGCAGUGGGGAAUAUUGGACAAUGGGCGCAAGCCUGAUCCAGCCAUGCCGCGUGAGUGAUGAAGGCCCUAGGGUUGUAAAGCUCUUUUGUGCGGGAAGAUAAUGACGGUACCGCAAGAAUAAGCCCCGGCUAACUUCGUGCCAGCAGCCGCGGUAAUACGAAGGGGGCUAGCGUUGCUCGGAAUCACUGGGCGUAAAGGGUGCGUAGGCGGGUCUUUAAGUCAGGGGUGAAAUCCUGGAGCUCAACUCCAGAACUGCCUUUGAUACUGAAGAUCUUGAGUUCGGGAGAGGUGAGUGGAACUGCGAGUGUAGAGGUGAAAUUCGUAGAUAUUCGCAAGAACACCAGUGGCGAAGGCGGCUCACUGGCCCGAUACUGACGC